CCAGCUCCAACAUGGCUGGAGGCCCAGCGACGUGCGGGCCAGGACGUGCCUGCGUGGGGGAGAACAAGACCCGGUUUCUGCCAAGGGCCUGGUGCUGACUGAUGCUGAGCCUGUGAUCGCCAGAGGGGGUGGUUCAGUGAGCCAGCGUGGAGUCAGAGGGCACAAGACGGAACUGUCCAAGCCCCUACCAAUUCCUUUUGAGGGAUGGAAACCUCCAGAAAAGAAGAAGAAAUGGUUGGGCAGGGAAAAUGCCCAGGAAAGAGGAAGGCUCAACCACUGAUCUUCACUGCUAACACUAGAAGAAAAGGCUUCCUGGUCCUCCGUGUCUCACUGACAGCCCCAGCUCCUGGACAGCAGACAAAAGAAAGCCUGGCAGUGGUGGUGAACACCUUUAAUUCCAGCACUUGGGAGACAGAUGCAGGAGGAUCCCUGUGAAUUGGAAGCCAGCCUGGUCUACAGACUGAGUUCCAGAACAGCCGGGACUACACAGAGAAACCCUGCCUGGGGACGCUGGGGCAGGGGAGGAAAUGUUAGGGCCCCAA